GAGCGCCCCACACCGUCCUGAGAACCUUGCCGGAUUAUGAGCCCGAGAUGGAAGCUGUUUAGCCAGCAUUUAGCGAAAUAAGUCAUAGCCGGAAGAAAUCAUUAUGGCCGUCUGAGCUGGAUGGAGGAGAAAAAGUAAAGUGAACAACUCUGACCAGAGAAGAAGUCACCAGAUGUAACUAAACACCUUUAAGCCUCUACCUCCUCAGCUGGUUACAAGAGGAAUGCUCCCACUACUACUUCAGCCACAACUGAGAAUAUGAAUAGUGAGAAAAGCAGGAGGGGAAGAGAAGCCUGGAGGAAUUCUCACCAGAUGCGCUGAACCCCUGUCAGCUUUCCUUCAAGGUAACUCAAGGUCAGGAGAGGCAGGAAGACAAUGUGGGGACAUUGAAGGCCCCUCCGCCAGAUGUGCGCUAACUAGGAGGCUGACCUCCCAGCUAAUAAGGUCACUCACUGGCUCCAGCAAGACGAGGGAACAACCAGGGUCUUGGCUCUGCUGCAGAAUUCACUUGGCACAGACUGUGAUUGCAGCUUCCUAAAUCCCUUUAGAACAAGAACUGA